CCCUCCUCUCCCUCCCCUUGCAGAUCCGGCUACACGCCGCCCCUCCUCUCCCUCCCCUUGCAGAUUCGGCGAAGAGGAGGCAUGGGGGCCCGACGGAUCUGGCAGAGCGGCGAGAGGCGGCGUGCGGCGGCGGGAGGGAGGCGGCAUGCGCCCCUCGGCGGUGAGAGGUGGUUGGACAAAGGCGGCCUGCGCCCCUUGGCGGCGGGAGGUAGUGGGAUAGAGGCGGCCCUUGGUUCCCCUUUCCACUUGGUUUCUUUUUUGUCACUGCAUUAUUUUUCUUUUUUUUAAGUAGGGGCAAUUGUGUUCAUAUAGUUUAAUUAUUAUUUUACACCUGUUUUUUAGGGUUUGUGAUUUUGCCCCUGCUUUUUUUAAAUGAAGCAGCCGUCUACCUCUGGUUUUGACGGUAGUUUAGUGGGUUCGAAAUUUCCGAAUUAAACGAAUAAAAAAAUGAUAUUAUAAUUUGUGAAUGACAUCCUACCCUUGUUUCACUAAAACAGUCAACCACUUGCUGGAAGUGUAAUUUCCCCAAUCCAAAACCCUAGAGCGGCGGCGGCGACGCGCGAGCACAGAGAAGGGGAGGAGCGGCCCGCGCGCGGCAGGGAGACGCAGCGACCCGGUGGGCCAACUGCCGCGGGGCCAGCGCGGCGCGCGGCGCGGCGGAGAGGAGCGGCGGCCUCGCGCGCGCGCAGGUAGGCGUGGUGCGGCGGACCCGCGGGCGCGCGUGCAGGGAGGCGUGGCGGCCCCGCGGCCAGCGCGCAGGGAGGCGCGGCGCAGCGGCCAUGCGGCCAGCGCGCGCGGAGAGGAGCGGUGGCUCCGUCGGCUCCUCUCUGUUUUAUGCAGUUAAAAUAAUAUCAAAUAUAUCACUGCAGUGGAAGGAGCAGUGACCUCCGUGGGCUAGAGACCAUCCCCUCUCACAUCCGUUGACUAAGCCCGUCUCUACUCAAUGCCUAGACAUCGCAGCUCGCCGCCGCCACCAAGAGAGGGCGAGGGAGGCGCAUCAGCACGUGAGGAGCUGAUGAAGAUGAUGCCGACGGCUGGUUCUCCCAUCUUCACUGCGUGCAGGAUGGGGGAGCACACGAUGAGGUCGAGGGUGGGAAGUCCGCCAUCAGAAUCCACCGCCGACGCCAUCGUACCUCCAGCUAGCGCCGCACGUCCAGAUCCGGCACAGACUGCCGCCGAGAGGCGCGGACCACCAUCGUCCCACGGCCGCACGCCGCCUCCCGCCCCUCAAACUGCCUCCGUACCGCCGCCGCACGCCGCCUACCGCCAGAUCCGACGCGGACUGCCGCCGUCCCACCGCCGCACCUCCAGAUCCGGCGCGGGCCGCCUCCCUCCCACCACCGGCCGCCACCGGGUCGCUGCCUCCCCUCCCGCCAGAUUUGGUGGAGGGGAGGGCCCUGCCAUGUUGCAGCUGUGGUGGAUGAAUGGAGGAGGAGGAGAAGGAAAUGUGGAGAGGAUGAGAGAAGGAAGGAGAGAAGGAAGAAGAAGAGAGAGGGGAGGGGCGGUGGAGACAGGAUGGAGAGGGAGAGAGAGAAGUGGAUAAGGAUGGGGCGAGAGAGGAGUGGCUCGUCUUAGGAUGGGUGUCGGUUUUAACUGAAAAGUGGCAUCUAUUUCUUUUGCCUACAAAGAUGCUGGUUAUAGGGUAGGUCCCGUAGUUGGGAUAGGGACUAAAAUGCCGGUUUUAGUUUAGAACCGACAUCUAUAUCUAACAGGGGUAAUAGGUAUCGGUUUUGUUUAAAAACCGGCACCUUUUAAGUGAUAAAGGUGACGGUUCUUGUGGUUUGGACGGGCUGAGGGGCAAGGGGCCCCGCGGGCCAGGGGGAGGCACUGUAGGUGGUGAUUUUACCACUUCCACGACCUAUAGAGCUGACUUAUAUUAACUAUUCUGCAGUAGUUAACAAGUAUUAUUAACUUUAGAGGAGUAGGGUAUAUAAAUGUUAUGUCUGAGUAUUUAAGCACGCGGCAGGAAUCCAUGCCGUCGCCGUGGGCCGUGCUUCUCCUGGACCUGAAAUGGCCAGCUGGUGCGGGAUUCUAUUCUCAGAUGAACGUCGUGGAGCUGUGAUGGUGGUGGGACGUUACGCGGUCGGGAUCGGAUCGAUCGGCGCUCAGCCCCACCGGACGACGGCGACGGCGCGCGGCCUCCGAGUCUUGGACGCACGCAGGGGGACGGCGACCCGUUUGUCCGCGCCCGCGUGCAUGUACUUGCAGUGAUUUUUCCUCGUUUCUUUCCUUCGAUUACCGUGAAAGUUUCGUACUUCCUCUAUUUCAUAAUAUAAGUCAUUUUAACAAUUUUGACAUAUAUACUGAUGUUAAUAAAUCUAGACAAUGUAAGUCCAUCUAACAUUUUUCAUAUUUAUAUUGAUGUUAAUAAAUCUGGACUGUAUAUUGAUGUUAAUAAAUCUAGACAGUCUAGAUUCAUUAACAUCAAUAUAAAUGUGAAAAAUGCUAGAAUGACUUACAUUAUGAAACGGAGAGAGUACAAUACUUACUAUGUUCUAAUAUAAAUAACGUCUUUGAUUUUUUAAA